GUGUGCGAGUCAACGGGU
rnacentral:snRNA from 1 species